GACCGAACCCGCAACCUCAUGGUUCCUAGUCGGAUUUGUUAACCACUGUGCCAUGACGGGAACUCCUCAAGUGAUUUUCUGAGUUCUGUGUCAGUCUCAAAAAUUUUCAAUUUUCUCCUAAGGAAGGGAUUGUGGUAACUCCCAGAUUUGUAGCUAAGUUGGACAGAAGUGUGAAUAACCUAGUAACCUGGGACUUCCAACUGGUGUCUGAAGUGGAGGCAGUCUUUUGGAACUGAGCCCUUAACGGUGAGGUUUGUGCUAACUCCAGAUAGUGUCAGAAUUGAAUUGAAUUGCUGGAUCCCCAGUUGGUGUGGGAGAAUCAGAGAGUUGGUAUCAGAGAAUUGGAGAAUUGGUUAUAGGUGUUUGGAAAAAACUCAGAAUCCAAUAUUUUUCCCCAGGAUAAUUGAUGUUUUCCACCAUUAAUGUGUGAUGAAGUUAUUAGCAUUUGCUACAUUCUCAGAUGUAAAAAGGAUCUGCCUUGGAGUAUAUUCAGUUCUAUACUGUUAAGAUCAAAAUUUCUCCUUUCCGUCCGUCAUCAAAACCAUCUCUGGCAGAUCUAGGAGAAAUUAAACUGGAUGUGCCCCAAACCUGCCACCAUUUUCUUACUAAUGACAUCUGAGAAUGUUGAACUCCACAGAGCAUCAGGACUCUUGUUGUCUGGAUAGAACUUUUUUUUUUUUUUUUUUUUUUUUUUUUUUUUGCGGGGUCCUGUAGCAAGUGGCAGGAAUGCCGUGACCAAGUGCCCUGCUCUAGCGAUCGCAGCCCCCCUGCCUUAACGACCGGUUUGGAGGGAGCGUGCAGACAUGACCGUCAGUAUCUGAAGUUGUAGCUUGCAUUUUAGGAUGGGACCUGACCGCCCAGCUCAAAGGUAAAUGUUUGCGACAACCACCCCUUAUCUAUUGUAGUCAAUAUAAAAGUAGCUGGGCAAGUGACACCUAGAAGAAGAUAAGAUGACCAAAAAAAAAAAAAAAAAAA